rnacentral:rRNA from 1 species
GAUGAACGCUGACAGAAUGCUUAACACAUGCAAGUCUUUGGCGAAUCUGUGCUUUCCCAGGCUAGCCAAGGCGGACGGGUGGGUAACGCGUAAAGUACUUGCCCUGCAGACAGGGAUAACGGACGGAAACGACUGAUAACACCUGAUACAGUUGCCGGCACGCAUGUGCCUGGCAAUGAAAAGAGAUGCUGCAGGAGAGCUUUGCGUCCUAUUAGCUUGUUGGUGAGGUGACGGCUCACCAAGGCGAUGAUAGUUAGCCGGCCUGAGGGGGUGAACGGCCACAAGGCGACUGAGAUACGGACCUUACUCCUACGGGAGGCAGCAGUGGGGAAUGUUGGACGAUGGGAGCAACGAUGAUGCAGCGAUUCGGUGUGCACGAAGAAGGUUUUCGGAUUGUAAAGUGCUUUCAGCAAGGAAGCAGAAAGUGACGGUACCUGGAGAAGAAGCGACGGCUAAAUACGUG